rfam:Oryza sativa (indica cultivar-group) chromosome 8, whole genome shotgun sequence.
AAAAGGAAAAACCCUGGGUUUCGUGUCAACUUUGACGUCCGUCUUAUAUGAAUUUUUUUUAUAAUCCGUAUUUUUAUUGUGGUGAGAUGAUAAAACAUGAUUAAAAUUUUAUGCGUGACUGUCUUUUUAAUUUUUUUAUAAUUUUUUCAAAUAAGACGGACGGUCAAACGUUGAGCAGAAAAUCAGAGUUGUCUUUUUU